GAACACUUGUCACACUCUAGAAGUUCAAAAAAAAAAAAAAACAUUUCUCAAAGACACUUUUCGGAAACACAUUAACAAACGGACAAUUCUUCGUCUCCGGCCCUUCAAUCAAUCAUGGACACUAAAAUUGGAUCACUCGACACCUGCAAGCCCCCAUGCAGCGACUUAGCCAGCCCGCCAAACGGUGCCGUUUCAACAAUCCAAUCCUCCGUUCCCGCUACUCCACUCGUCAACCCGUCCGAGUCGACCCUCGGCCGCCACCUCGCUCGCCGGCUCGUCCAAAUCGGCGCCACCGACGUCUUCUCGGUCCCCGGCGACUUCAACUUGACGCUUCUCGACCACCUGAUAGCCGAGCCCGGGCUCAACUUGAUCGGUUGCUGUAACGAGCUGAAUGCCGGAUACGCUGCCGAUGGGUACGCUCGCUCGCGUGGGGUCGGCGCCUGUGUCGUGACCUUCACCGUUGGUGGGCUUAGCGUGCUUAACGCUAUCGCCGGUGCUUACAGUGAAAAUCUGCCGUUGAUUUGCAUCGUUGGUGGCCCAAACUCCAAUGAUUACGGAACCAACAGGAUCCUUCAUCAUACCAUUGGCUUGCCUGAUUUUAGCCAAGAACUCAGAUGCUUUCAGACUGUCACCUGUUAUCAGGUAACGAUAGUAAUAAUUUAUUUAAAAAAAAAGCUUUCUUUCUUUAUUUUUAUAACUUAAUAACUGAAAAGUUUCCUUUUUUUUUGUUUUUAAAAAAAAGAUCAAGCAUUGAUAUUAUUAAUAUAUAAGCUUGACUGGUUUUUGAUGAUGGGUAUGAUAUUUUUGAUAGGCUGUGGUGAAUAACUUGGAGGAUGCACAUGAGUUGAUUGAUACGGCAGUAUCAACUGCUUUGAAAGAAAGCAAGCCUGUUUAUAUCAGCGUUGCUUGUAACUUGCCUGCGAUUCCUCAUCCUACUUUU
rnacentral:lncRNA from 1 species